GACGAACGCUGGCGGCGUGCCUAACACAUGCAAGUCGAGCGGAGCUAGUAGCAAUAUUAGUUUAGCGGCGGACGGGUGAGUAACGCGUGGGCAACCUGCCUUCUACAGGGGGAUAACACAGGGAAACUUGUGCUAAUACCGCAUAACAUACUUACGGGAUAACCCUUGGGUAUCAAAGGAGCAAUCCGGUAGAAGAUGGGCCCGCGUCCGAUUAGCUCGUUGGAGGUGUAACGGACCACCAAGGCUAUGAUCGGUAGCCGACACUGAGAGGUUGAUCGGCCACAUUGGGACUAAGACACGGCCCAGACUCCUACGGGAGGCAGCAGUGGGGAAUAUUGCGCAAUGGGGGAAACCCUGACGCAGCAACGCCGCGUGAAGGAUGAAGGUCUUCGGAUUGUAAACUUCUUUAGUCGGGGACGAAGAAAUGACGGUACCCGAAGAAUAAGCCACGGCUAACUACGUGCCAGCCGCCGCAGUAA
rnacentral:rRNA from 1 species